UACGGGGGGGCGAAGCGUUGUUCGGAAUUACUGGGCGUAAAGGGCUCGUAGGCGGCCAACUAAGUCGGAUGUGAAAUCCCCAGGCUUAACCUGGGAACUGCAUCCGAUACUGGAUGGCUUGAAUUCGGGAGAGGGAUGCAGAAUUCCAGGUGUAGCGGUGAAAUGCGUAGAUAUCUGGAGGAAUACCGGUGGCGAAGGCGGCAUCCUGGACCGAGAUCGACGCUGAGGCGCGAAAGCUAGGGGAGCAAACGGG
rnacentral:rRNA from 1 species